CUGUUCUGCUCGCGAGCACAGGUGAGCACUUUAUCGAGACCAGUCGAUACCGCAUUGGGAUUGUGUCGUUGAAUUACUGAGCCAGCGCGUCGAGCAGUGUUAAAUCGCGAGGGGAGGGAAUACAGUAUACUGCCGCCUCGUACACCGCGUCGGGACGGAGCCCGCGGAUGGCGCCGUGACGGGAUUUCCCCUGAGCCGUGGCUCGGGGCGUCAGCGGAUUCCCUGAUCCUUUGCUCAGGAAAUCGAAUCUCCGUCAGUCGGCGCUGGGCAGGCCAGUAAAUGGCUACUAUGACAAACAGCGCCGCUGUCUCCCACCUCUCGCCAAUCUUUCUUGUGUCCGCCAUUGACGCCGUCCGAGAUCUGCGGAAGGAGUUCACGGCGGCGAGUUUCGUGGAUGGAGUUCCUGAUGCAACCAAUUAGGAGGUCCGCGGUGAUGGAGGAGGUGAAUGACAACCAGCUGCCAAUGGAGCCGGUGCACUACCCAGCGGUUGCGACAGCAACGGAGGAGCUGUCCCCCAUGGCCGCUGUAAGCGUUGACCGGCAGAUCUGUGCGGCGGAUGGGGCCGUUGCGGCGGAGGGGAAUGAUGAACCGCAGGCGUCUGAGCAAUCUAUUGGCUAGGUUGAUCCAAAAACACCAGGCUGGAAUCGCAGCCUUAGGAUUGGUGCUGCCGCACCGAGCAGAACACCAUGCCCAAAUCGAAUCAGUGCGUUUGAGAAGGAAGUCAGGUGUUGCGGAGAGAACCCAGCUGAAAACGUGAUCACACCGGUUCUCGGUACUAGUUUCGACUCUUUGGGCGAAACAUACGACUUGUGUGUACAUGUAGGUGGAUAUCAUCCGGAAAGCACGGUAAAACUGGUGCGUCGUCCUUGUGUACCAUUUGAGAUGAUGUUAUGUCGUACUUCAGCAAGUCAGCAGAUAACUGCUUCUGUAUUGACACCGUGUGCAAGAAUCGGACAACACCAGAGUCUGCUUGACAUAAAAGUCAUAAGUUAGUGCAGAUAAAAGCGCGUCAAAUGAAAUCAACAACUGUCAUAAGCUUAGUUGGGAGCUUGAAACUAGAGAGUGAAGGUCUUACUGAGAAUUCAGGUUCAAUAGGGUGCCUCCAGCUUAAAUAAGGGUUUUCGGUUUCUGCUUCAUCAUGUCAAGUUGGACGUGGCCUCGUGCAGUUGCGAGGUGCGAGAGGCAACGAGCAUUUAUUUCCUUCAAGAGGACUGUGAUCUCAUUUUUUUAAUUUACGUCUUCAAUAUCUGCCUUUUUAGUUAUUCUCUUCAUUUUUGGUAUGACCAUAGUUAGUCUCUUUCAGAUAUUUUAGGCUCUAAUUAUUCGUUUUUAUUUAUUUAGUUACCCAUUUCUGUUAGUGUUCAGUUUUUAUGUUCAUUGCUCUAUCUGCAAUUUACAUGAGCGAACUUUCUCAGUCCUCACUCUUUAUUCGUUAGUCCAUGUUCGGUCCCUCAUUUUUUCCUUUUUCUUUUUUAGCAGUUUAUGUUGCAUGCUCAUCGGUGAGCCUGUCAACAUCAGAGGGAGAGGGGAGAAGUUGAGCGGUACUCUUGGUUCAGAUGUUUUCCUUAGCAAUCGUUUGACGCAGAGCGUUCUGUCUUUCAUUUUAAGGACGUUGCAACCUAACAUGCAUGAUUCGGAAAGGGAUAACAUAAUGGCUGGCAUUCUGUAAACUUUUUGUCGAAUUGUUAGUAAACUUUUGAUAGAGCCUAAAUAUCAGUAUUUUUUCCCUUUUUAGAUUUCUUUAGUUUAAUUCGUUGUUCUUCUUUUAGUCAUAUUGUUCUUUUAUUUGAUCAGUGGUUGUCAGUAUUGUCGUUUCUUCAGUCUAUAUUCAGUUUAUGUGUUUUCAGUCUGUAUUCAGUUUAUGUGUUUUCAGUCUAUUAUUCACUUUAUCAUUUCAGUUUUUAAGUCUUCAUUUUAUUUUCUUCAUCAUUCUGAUCCCGUGGAUUGAAUGAGGUUUCAGUGGCGUCAAAUUGCACCAUGAUCAGAUACAUGCUGUGAAAUCAUAUUUUGCAUGGGGGCACCAAGAAGCCUGCGGCGUGGCUCAAGCGGUGUCACUUCCAGUGGCUAUAGCAACCAAAAACCAAAAGCCCUCUAUAUUCUGAUGGCAAAGCUGAUGUAUGUAUCCCACGGGGCAUCACAUAAAUUACCAUUCAAGGUAGGUUCCAGUCUGCAGAUCGCGAGGGACGGUAUGGCUGGAAUACGCUUGGUAACAGGGAGCAUUACCACUGCUGCGUACAAGACCUCUAAGGAAGACCAUCUCGUCAAUAAGCUACGAGAACAAGGGCCAUUAGUUUUUGCAAGUGGAGAUGCAACCAUUGGAAACCAGAACGAUGAUGCUACUUCGGCAAAUGAGACUGGGAACAGGCUCGCUGGAUGUUGGCGCCAAAGAAGCCAAAAGAGAUGGGUCGCCCAACAACUAGCCAAGAGAAGGCGCCGUACGAGGGGCUCAGCAAACGGACAAGCUUCUGCACGAUAUGUUGCCAGCAGGGGCACAAGAGGACAACCUGAUAUCCCCAAGCCAGUUUGUAAACCAGUGCGGCACAAAAACUGCGGCGUUGAAGGUCACAAACGAAACAACUGCCGCAAAGUAGGUGAUCUGCGGCUAAACAACAUGUGAUGAUUUGUGUUGCUAAUGUAUGUGUUUGUAUGUUGUUUUCAGGCGUACUGUCUGUCUUUGUAUACAGAGUGGUGUACAUAUGGUUGUUGAUCUGUCUUGGUGAUUCUGUGAAGUGCAUUUCCCAUUGCCAACAUGGUUUCUGUUGGCUGAAUUUUUUACUGAGACAAUCUGGUUAUCUUUGGCUGCUAGAUGGGCAAUUGUGCUAAAUGCUGGACAAGUGCAUGCCUGUGUGAGGCCGUGCGCCCAGUGCUUGGCCGAUCCAUUUCUAAUUGCACUACAAGAGCAGGGAAAACAGAGGAGCAAUUACAUAAGCGUUCCUCCACCAUGCGUGCCCCAUCUGACCGAUCCAUCCCUUUUCGUUUAGGUAGAAAAGACUGAAUACUACAGGGCAGUUCUUGCCAUGGCUCUGACCGUGCUAUCCCUAUGGGCGUCUGGCAUUACAAAAUCAGAUGCAACUCGCAAGCUGGAUGAAGUAUCCGCAGAGGGUUCAGUUGAGCUGAAAGUUCAGUAAACCAGCCUGUAGGACUACAAGUUGUUACGCUGACUUCAUCUUCGGGAGUGUCUGCUGUCUUUGAGCAGGAGACAUGCCAUGCAACCGCAGAUCUGGAGACAUAAGAGAUGGGCCCGCAGGACGAAGUGCAGAUGCAGGCGCUCCGCGCGGUGGAUGAACGGUGCAGAGAACACGAUCCGGAAAAGCAUGAUUAGCUGCUGUGUGAGCUUGCCGAGCCCCGAGCUUGAAGACGGCGAGCAGUCUACGGCUGGGGCGUGCGGCGACUGGAGAUAGCUGCCGUCGUUGGUCCAGAAUCAGCGAGUUAGCGGCCCAGUCCGUGACGCUGUACCAAUGGCCGUUUGCUAGAAGUGGGCCAAUAUAACUGUUCAUUAAUAGAUAUACGGCAGUAAUACGUGGGCCUGUAUGCGUCAGAAUGGGAAUCUCGAAGAUCACGGGCGGGAGGGAUAUCGCGAGCACCUACGAUCGCGCUCAGAAGAGCACUUUCGCAGCUCUACUAGCUUCUAUGUUUCUGUAAAAAGAAUUACUGGCUGCUAAACAGACUCUGCGCUGAUGAACUUACAAAACUGAAAUUCAGUCGUACACC